AUUGAACGCUGGCGGCGUGCUUAACACAUGCAAGUCGUGCGGUAACAGGCGUAGCAAUACGUGCUGACGAGCGGCGAACGGGUGCGUAAUACAUGGGAAUCUGCCCUUUGGUGGGGAAUAACCCGGCGAAAGCCGGGCUAAUGCCGCAUAAGAUCUUCGGAUGAAAGCGGGGAGUCGUAAGACCUCGCGCCGAUGGAUGAGCCCACUGUCGGA
rnacentral:rRNA from 1 species